UGGUGCGAUCAUACCGGCACUAAUGCACCGCAUCCCAUCAGAACUCCGAAGUUAAACGUGCUUGGGCGAGAGUAGUACCAAGAUGGGUGACCUCUUGGGAAGCUAUCGUGUUGCACCUC
rnacentral:rRNA from 1 species